rnacentral:rRNA from 1 species
GUCUACGGCCAUUCCACCCUGAACAUACCUGAUCUCAUCUGAUCUUGGAAGCUAAGCAGAGUUGGGCCUGGUAUGUAUUUGGAUGGGAGAACCGGUGCAGCCA